rnacentral:rRNA from 1 species
UACGUAGGGCGCAAGCGUUGUCCGGAAUUAUUGGGCGUAAAGAGCUCGUAGGCGGCCUGUUGCGUCCGCUGUGAAAUCCCGGGGCUCAACCCCGGGCCUGCAGUGGAUACGGGCUGGCUAGAGGCAGGCAGGGGAGAACGGAAUUCCUGGUGUAGCGGUGAAAUGCGCAGAUAUCAGGAGGAACACCUGUGGCGAAAGCGGCGCACUGGACCACAACUGACGCUGAGGCGCGAAAGCUAGGGGAGCAAACAGG